GCGCGGCUGUGGCUGUGGAGAAAGGCAAAGGGAGUACGCAUGCUGGGACCCAUAUUACGAACAAAUACCCAUGUUGGACAGAAAACCGCCGUAUUCGGACUGCAGAGUUUGGCAAAGACAACGGUGUAACAGUAUAGCUUGUUCUGCAGCAGAAUGUGAUUAUAACACCAACCCCGACUGCGGUUGUUGCGAAGGGUUUGUCAGAGACGAUUAUAACCAAUGUGUACGACAACCAUAAGUCAUCGAGAAUGAGACACUUAGAUGUAAAAAUUAGAGAUAUUGGGAUCGCAAAGAAUUUGGAACUCAAACAUCCUAAGUUAUAAUUAUUAUCAUUGAAUAAUAACGGAUCAAUUAGACGUGGAUGGUCAUAAAAGCAAGACUUCAAAAACAUCAUGAAAGGAAAGGACACACAGUUGUCUCCACGAGCUGCUCACGUACAUAACUUGUUCAUUUUGAUUACAUCAUUAAUAAAAUGUAAUAUAACAUA